GACGAACGCUGGCGGCGUGCUUAACACAUGCAAGUCGAACGGAAAGGCCCUGCUUUUGUGGGGUGCUCGAGUGGCGAACGGGUGAGUAACACGCGAGUAACCUGCCCUUGACAGUGGGAUAACUUCAGGAAACUGGGGCUAAUACCGGAUAGGAGCUCCUGCGGCAUGGUGGGGGUUGGAAAGUUUCGGCGGUUGGGGAUGGACACGAGGCUUAUCAGCUUGUUGGUGGGGUAGUGGCUUACCAAGGCUUUGACGGGUAGCCGGCCUGAGAGGGUGACCGGCCACAGUGGGCCUGGGGUGGGGCCCAGACUGCUACGGGAGGAAGCAGUGGGAAAUAUUGCACAAUGGGCGGAGGCCUGAUGCAGCAACGCCGCGUGCGGGAUGACGGUCUUCGGGUUGGAAACCGCUUUCGCCUGUGACGAAGCGUGAGUGACGGUAAUGGGUAAAGAAGCACCGGCUAACUACGUG
rnacentral:rRNA from 1 species